rnacentral:lncRNA from 1 species
CUCCUGGUUUGGGUCGUGCUUCUUUGCUCCAGGCCUUGGCUCAGGCGGCAGGUGGGGGAGAGUAAACGUGUUGACCCAAAGUUGCAACUCCCAAGAAGAAACCUCACGUCGGGUUGCAGGAAAGCAACAAACCUCUACAGGCUGGAGAGGAGAAUGUGUGGGACAAGCAGGGCCUCGUGAUUUCAGCUACUUGCUUGGGCCUUCCCAAGCCCCACUGUGUGGGUUGAGGACGACGUGGAGCCACUGUAAUAAUUUUUACACGAGUUACUGAAAAGGAACGCUGUUCUUGCUCCUGUGGUGACCAAUUAAUUGAUGAGAUUUGAGAGUUCUUGGAAGAAAGAAGAAACGGAAGUUCCAAAGAAGAGACAGGAGGUCUCUCUCUCUCUCGCUCUCUCUCUCUCUCUCUCUCUAUAUAUAUAUAUAUNNNNNNNNNNNNNNNNUUUUUUUUGGCCUUUUUUUUUUAGGACUGUAUGCUCAGCAUAUGGAAGUUCCCAGUUGGGGGUCGAAUCAGAGGUGCAGCUGCCAGCCUAGGCCACAGCCACAACCACAGCAAAGUCGGAUCCAAGCCACAUCUGUGACCUACUCCACAGCUCAUGGCAAUGCUGGAUCCUUAACCCACUGAGCGAGGCCAGGGAUUGUACCCAUAUCCUCAUGGAUACUAGUCGGAUUCGUUUCCGCUGAGCCACAAUGGGAACUCCCUGCUUUAAAGCACUUUUAAUGAGACAUGGAAUGAGUAGCGUUGAGGUAGGGAAAUGCCCAGGAACCAGCCUGAAGGGUGGGCUCAGGAAGGUGUUUCUGGUCAACCCCUCUUGUUUUUCAGAUUUUUUUUUUUUUCCAGGGUCAGGGCUGAGGGGCUCCCAGUCACAGAGCCCAAUCAGGCCAUGAUGAUUGCACAAAUUACAAACAUCUACCGCCAACCCAAUUAGCCUUUUUCGAGUGUUAGAACUUGCACAUUUGAGGUCAAGUUCUGUUGGACACAGAGAGGAAGGGUAUCUGGGAAAGGACAGACUUUUCCCAGAAACUCUCUGGCACCCAGCCGCCCUCUCCCCAUUUCAGAUUUGGGAACACAUCCAAAGCAAGGCACCAUGAUGAAGGCGGCUCAGAUACCCUGGGGAAGCUUUCUAGAGGAAAUCCAUUCAAUUGCCUCGGCAUAUGAAUUGGUCCAUUCUCCUUGUGUCCAGCACCGGGUUAGAUGCUCAAGUAGGAGUUGGGGGGUCAGGAAACUUGGCUGGAUCCCUGUGUUUUCCCUGUGUGGGAGGGGAACCAUUCUGUCUUCAAGCUCUGUGGAUUCAGACUGGGGGUUCAGGGGUGAGAAAGACCUGCCCCUAUGCUGGAGGGGAUCACGGUCCAUGGGAGAGACAAACGACAGACCUGGCUCAAUGAUCCUUCUGCUCCGGGGCUCGACCCCACCUGGACCGAUGCUGCCUCUUGAUCCCACACACAGUGCUCAUUAAGCCUCCUCUAUACUAUUAUAUCCCCCCAGGCCCCAACGGGCUGCCGGAUGGGCUAUCUGGUCAACCCAUCCUCCAAAUAACAAUUUAUCUUGAUUAUUGAGAUUUUUGGUACUUGCUGAAAAUUUGCUCUCGUAGCAAAUGCCUAACUUAAAGAACCCUAAUUGAGGCCCGAACAGACCUCACACAGCCAUACAUAUAUAAGCUGCUGCAGGCCAGAGGGGUGAGUGCUUAGAACAAAGCCCAUGAGAGUUCAGAGGGACACCUGAGUCCUUCUGGGGGCAGCAUUUCCCAGAGUGUGCUCUGUGCAACAGCACUCCUGUGAGGCGCUCCUCCAAAAAUAAAAGAUUUUGUGGACAAAUAAGUCUGGGGAACCGUGCACGGUUUAUCUUCCGCUUUAGAUAUUCGUGAUGGACAUAAGCAAGCUGAAGGCUCUGAGACUCUUAUAUGAAGAAACGUUAUUUUCUUAGCCCAACCUCUUUGGCUACUUAACGGGGUCACCCUGGGCAAGUCUAUUAAUGUUUCUUAAAGUGAAAUGACAGGCAGUCAUCUCAGAAUCUCUGGGGAAGCGCUUAUUAGAAAUACAGAGCCACCUGUCCUGCUGCAGGCUUUCUAGGACCCAGGAAUCUGCUUUGAACAAGCUCCCAGUUGAUCGUGAUGCAUGCUCAAGUUAAAAACCCCAGAUCAACCUUCCCAGGCCCUUGGCUCUUUCUCAGAACAUUGUAAAGAUCAAGAGAUAAACUUGACCAAGAGAUUAGUCAAAAAGAAACCUAGAGACUUCCAACUCAUUCUAUGAGGCUACUAUUGUCCUAAUAACAAAACCAGGCAAAGACACCACAGGAAAACUACAGAUGAAAAUAUGUCAUGAAUAUACAUGAAAAAAAUCUUCAACCAAAUACUAACAGAUCAAAUCGAGCAACCUAUCAAAAGCACUACACACCAUGACUGAGUGGGAUUUACCCCAGAAACGCAAGAGUGGUUUAACAUCCAAAAAUCAAUUAAUAUGACAUGCCAUGUCAACAGAAUUAGAGACAAAAGCCAUAUGAUUAUCUCAGUACAUACAGAAAAAGCAUUGGACAAAACCCAACACUCCUUCUUAAUAAAACCACUCAAGCUAAGAAUAGUAAAGAACUUCCUCAAUUUGAUAAAAGGCAUCUACCAAAAAACCCCAUAUUUUUUUAAUGGUGAAAGACUCAAUGAUUUCCCUCUAAGAUCAGGAACAAAAAAACUAGGCUGAUCACUCUUGCCUUAUCUAUUCAACACUGUACUUCUCAACAAAGUGUAGAAUGGUGGUUGCCAAGGGCUGAGAGAGGGGAGAUAGGGAGCUGUUGUUCAUUGGGCAUAAAGUUUCAGUUAAGAGGUGAGUAAGUUCUAGAGCUUGUCUGUACAACAUGGUGCCCAGAGUUAAAAAUACUGGAUUGCUCACUUAAAAUCUUUCUUAAGUAGUUCCCAUUGUGGCACAGUGGAAAUGAAUCCGGCUAGGAACCAUGAGGUUGCGGGUUCGAUCCCUGGCCUUGCUCAGUGGGAUAAGGAUCCAGUGUUGCUAUGGCUAUGGUGUAGGCCAGCGGGUGCAGCUCUGAUUCAACCCCUAGCCUGGGAACCUCCAUACGCUGCAGGUGUGGCCCUAAAAAAAGAAAAAAAAAAAGCCAAAAAAAUUUUUUUUCUUAAGAGGGUAGAUUUCAUGUUAAGUGUUCUUAUCAUGAAAAAAACAAAGCAAAACAAAAGACACAAAGAAACUUUUUGGAGAUUUAUUACCUUGACUGUAGUGACGGGUUUACAGGUGUGUGCUUCUGCCCAAAUUUAUCAAAUUUGUGUACAUUAAACAUCUGCAGUUUUUUUGUACAUCAAUUGUAAUUCAAUAAAGCUCUUUUAAAACACC